GGGAUGGGGACCCAUUAAUUCAUUAUUGUGUAUUUCAGGUUCAUUCACGUAUGCAUGCACUCAUCUAUUCAAUUAUUAUGUGAAAAAAGGGAAAUUUUGUACACUUUGUUUGGGCACCGGCUGUUUUUACACCAAAACUGAUAUAUGUGGUCCUUCACCGUUCUUUUUUGAUUUUCAAAAUUAUUGAUUUCCAAUUAAAAAUAUGUACGACCAUUAUUGGAGACUAAAUAGGAAUAUAGUGCUACUAUUUGUGAUGAUGAUGUUGUGGCUCCAUCCUCCCAUACUUAAAUACUUUAGACCAUUAAAUUGGAGUACAAUCAAUUAACAAUACAUAUACCAUCAUAUUAUGGGAAAAAAAAAA
rnacentral:lncRNA from 1 species